rnacentral:rRNA from 1 species
UACGUAGGGGGCAAGCGUUGUCCGGAAUCAUUGGGCGUAAAGAGCGUGUAGGCGGUUCGAUAAGUCUGCUGUGAAAGUCCAAGGCUCAACCUUGGGAUGCCGGUGGAUACUGUCGAACUCGAGUCCGGAAGAGGAGUGUGGAAUUCCUGGUGUAGCGGUGAAAUGCGCAGAUAUCAGGAGGAACACCGAUGGCGAAGGCAGCACUCUGGGCCUGACCUGACGCUGAGGAGCGAAAGCGUGGGGAGCGAACAGG